AAACUUUCAACAACGGAUCUCUUGGUUCUCGCAUCGAUGAAGAACGCAGCGAAACGCGAUAGUUAAUGUGAAUUGCAGAAUUCAGUGAAUCAUCGAGUCUUUGAACGCACAUUGCGCCCAUUGGUAUUCCGAUGGGCACGUCUGUUUGAGCGUCAUU
rnacentral:rRNA from 2 species